rnacentral:rRNA from 1 species
UGGGGAAUAUUGCGCAAUGGGGGGAACCCUGACGCAGCAACGCCGCGUGAGUGAAGAAGGUCUUCGGAUCGUAAAACUCUGUCAUAGGGGAAGAAGGAAGUGACGGUACCCUAUGAGGAAGCCCCGGCUAACUACGUGCCAGCAGCCGCGGUAAUACGUAGGGGGCGAGCGUUGUCCGGAAUUACUGGGCGUAAAGGGUGCGUAGGCGGCCGAUUAAGUCAGAUGUGAAAUACCAGGGCUCAACCUUGGGGGUGCAUAUGAAACUGGUUGGCUUGAGUGCAGGAGAGGGAAGUGGAAUUCCUAGGUGUAGCGGUGAAAUGCGUAGAGAUUAGGAGGAACACCAGUGGCGAAGGCGACUUUCUGGACUGUAACUGACGCUGAGGCACGAAAGCGUGGGGAG